GAUAAGAUGGCUGAAGUUUAGGCGAUAAAUUGUAAAUUUAUUUAUGGUUAAUAUUAAUCUCUUAUCA
rnacentral:tRNA from 1 species